rnacentral:rRNA from 1 species
GAUGAACGCUGGCGGCGUGCCUAAUACAUGCAAGUCGAGCGAACAGACGAGAAGCUUGCUUUUCUGAUGUUAGCGGCGGACGGGUGAGUAACACGUGGAUAACCUACCUAUAAGACUGGGAUAACUUCGGGAAACCGGAGCUAAUACCGGAUAAUAUUUUGAACCGCAUGGUUCAAUAGUGAAAGACGGUCUUGCUGUCACUUAUAGAUGGAUCCGCGCCGCAUUAGCUAGUUGGUAAGGUAACGGCUUACCAAGGCAACGAUGCGUAGCCGACCUGAGAGGGUGAUCGGCCACACUGGAACUGAGACACGGUCCAGACUCCUACGGGAGGCAGCAGUAGGGAAUCUUCCGCAAUGGGCGAAAGCCUGACGGAGCAACGCCGCGUGAGUGAUGAAGGUCUUCGAAUCGUAAAACUCUGUUAUUAGGGAAGAACAUAUGUGUAAGUAACUGUGCACGUCUUGACGGUACCUAAUCAGAAAGCCACGGCUAACUACGUG